CAUUACUGUUAACCAACGGUUUUAUGUUAACCCUGCCCCCCAACAGUGGCUCCGGACCGGAGUGUGACAGCCACCAGCGCACGCGCCGCGGACCGUGGCGCGAAGGUGUUCGGUGAAAUGCCGCUCCGGGGUAGUCACGCUUCCACGGCGUCGUUUGGCCGGUCGAUCGAUGAAAUGCCUCCAGCGGUCCAGCCGAGAGGGUCGGCGCUGCCCUGGCCUGGGUGCGCCGUGGUCCGUCGGGCAGGACGUCACAUCCGCUCCCGCGCGCUGCGAUGGGCAGCGGAAGGGCAGAAAAGCAAACCUGCCAUCUGGGACGCAUGAAUCGUGACAAAAUUCAAGGACACAUGGCUUGCACUCCUGCUCGUCAGUCAUCACAUCCUGGCAAAGGCAACGUGCUUUUGCACUUCAGGUUGAAACAAAGAUUCAAGUAGGGAAUACAAAAUGUAAGAGGACCGCGGAAACUCACCAAAGCUCACAUCUGUUGAUUCUGGAAUAUCUGUCACCAACCUGUUUGCAUGACUUUCUCCGUCUUACCAGUGAAGGUACUCUCUUUUUGUUGGAUUGCUUGGACUUGGUGAGUCAGGAUCCACCAUUACCUAGUGGACUCUGAGUGAUGCUGAUUUGAUAAAUGGGUCCAAGAUAUCUCCAACUACGUUGCCUACAACAAGUGGGUCCCUUGACAUGGCUAGCUAUGAUUGGCAAUCUUCGAGGCAAGCUAACUUGGCUUGAAGUCUGAACUUGGGUGAAGUGAAGGGUGCAGGCUGGUAGUCUAUAUAUACUCCCAGUCCCCAAUGAGGAUAAAAGAGGCAGCAAGGCUGUGAUAGAUAAGGUCUACAAUGAUAUCGUUUUGUGUGAACUGUAUCCUUCUAACAUUGCAAGUACAUUUAUUUGCUUACUUGCGCAAAAGAUCUUCAUGCUACUCUGUCAAGUUUGGAACAUGGAAGAACUCAAAAGGGUUUACUGAACAUCAUGGUGCGUUGAAUAUGAACGCCAGAGUUAGUGGAAGUGACUGGAACGUAUGGAGCUCUUGGUUCAUUGCACAUUCUUGAUCUCGACCGACGAAUAAAGCACAUCUUCUCUUCACGUGAGCAUAUCCCAUUGGUCCAGUCCAGCCACUCCAAGGGUGAACGCAACUUGGAGGAAGGACGCAGGAGUACUUCACAUGGGCUGUCAAAAGUUUCGAAACGGACACAUAUGCAUAUACAGCAGAAUUUCAAUUAAGCAGGCUUUAGUACAGACUACUGAACAAUACCGAGACACAUAAACCCCCCAAAAUCAAGCGACAUGCAUUAUUUGACCGAGAAGUGAGAACUGGAUUUGCAAUACUACUGAGCAGUAGCUAGCCGUUUUCAGGUAUUGCUGGUAUAUCUAUCCUCUGUACCUACCAUACACUUGCUACUACCUAGCAUUUGCUUUGCUUUUGUCACUGCCUGUGCAGAGCGACAACUGCUGGACCGAUCAAGCUAGAUCGCAAUCUCGGAAUCUGGUGGAGAACGAGAAUCCUUCUGGAGAAGACGGGCAGCAGCUAGUCUACUGCUCCAUCAUAUAUGCUCCUGUCGAUCCCCUUGCUGACUGUGCUACACACGGAGGCUGGCGGCGCGUACGUGCGUCGUUGGUGCAUGUGCUAUAUGCCUACACAUGCAAGUUGCAGGCGUAUACGACAGCCUCUCAGGCACUCGUCAUCAGCUGUCCGUUAGUGGAAUGGCGUGGAGAUGGAGCCAGUGUUUCGAGCCGAGUGCCAGGCGCCAUGGAUGGAUAUGAUAUGCUUAGCUUGGCGGAUCGAUCGGCCGGAUGCUACGACCUUCUUCCACGGUGCUACCGCCUCCGGAUAUGAUCAUGCAUGCAUGGCGUGGGCAUUGCGAGCUUAUCGCAUUCCUAUAGGCCUGGAGGCGAGUCAGCGCUCAGCGGUGGACAAGAUACUGGUACGGUGGCGUCAUGGAUGUGCAUGCGCGCACGCGGUCUGAGCCCGGUGCCCGAGCCCAUUCACAUGGCAUGCCUGAUGUGGUACCGGCCGGAUGGAAAAGGCUGUUGCACCACCGCCGGAAAUCGGCGCGGGACUGCGGGGCGGCUGUUCUCUGGAGCGUUCUCUUGUGUAGCCGACUUGCUAGCCAUGUCGGCAUUGUCGCGUAUCCAGGAUUUUAUUAUAGAGUAUGCUAACCAAAAUUUACAUAUACAUUAUCCAAACCAUUUGAUCA